UCUCCGUUGGUGAACCAGCGGAGGGAUCAUUACCGAGUGCAAACUCAUAACCCUUUGUGAACCUGUACCUUUACUGUUGCUUCGGCGGGUUAACGCCCCGGAAGGCCCAAAAGGCCGCCGGAACCAGGCGCCCGCCGGGGGACCCAAACUCUUGUAUUUCUUACUUUGCAUGUCUGAGUGGAAUCAUAAACAAAUGAAUCAAAACUUUCAACAACGGAUCUCUUGGUUCUG
rnacentral:misc_RNA from 1 species